rnacentral:tRNA from 1 species
ACUUGAAUAGCUUAUGUUUAAGAGCGCGACACUGAAGAUGUUGAUGAGGUAAAUUUACCUUCGAGUA